GGCCAGACUCCUACGGGAGGCAGCAGUGGGGAAUAUUGCACAAUGGGGGAAACCCUGAUGCAGCGACGCCGCGUGAGUGAAGAAGUAUUUCGGUAUGUAAAGCUCUAUCAGCAGGGAAGAAGUUGACGGUACCUGAGUAAGAAGCCCCGGCUAACUACGUGCCAGCAGCCGCGGUAAUACGUAGGGGGCAAGCGUUAUCCGGAUUUACUGGGUGUAAAGGGAGCGUAGACGGUGAAGCAAGUCUGAAGUGAAAGGCGGGGGCUCAACCCCCGGACUGCUUUGGGAACUGUUUGACUGGAGUGCAGGAGAGGUAAGUGGAAUUCCUAGUGUAGCGGUGAAAUGCGUAGAUAUUAGGAGGAACACCAGUGGCGAAGGCGGCUUACUGGACCGUAACUGACGUUGAGGCGCGAAAGCGUGGGGAGCAAACAGGAUUAGAUACCCGGGUAGC
rnacentral:rRNA from 1 species